AGUGAUUUAAGCAUCUCAAUCAAGGAUACCCAGCAAGAAAGCAGCCAAGUUAGGAUUUAAACCCUGAUUUUAUAUGCCUGUGUCCCUUGCCACAGUAUCCUGCCCCUGUAGCAUAACUAUUCAGGUAAGAGAUGAAGGCUGAAUUCUCAGAAUAAGAAUGGCAAUAAAAAAAAGCCAGAUCUGAGAGACAUAUCAAGUAGACAAUCAACAGGAUUGAGAAGACAUUUGAUGUAGGGGAUAAGUAGACUAGGCUGAGGACCCUAGGUUGACACUGAGGUUUCUACAUAGAUAAGAUUAAUGAUAAAAUAUUUUAUGAUGAAGCCUUCACUACUAUCAAGGUCAAACAAAAUUAUCCCCUCAAAGUGCACGAGAAAUUUUUGAGGAGGUGAUGAGAAGUGAUAAUGGGGCGGUGAAAGUGCUGAUAAUGGAGGCGGUAAGGAGGUGAUUUCUGGAUAUGCUGAUGUUGUGGUGCCUAUGCAGCAUGAAGGUAGGGACUGCAUGAUACUUUAGGGUAGGUUGUGGAGCAAGAGAUGAGUGUUUGGGAUCAAUUAGUCUACAGGUAGUCGUUGAAACCAUUGUGAAACCCAUGCGAAUGCCCAGGGAAAGUAGGUAGAACAAGAAGAGAAAAGAACCAGGGAAAAAUCUUGGGGAAUUCUUAAGGCACACUCAAGGCAGUAGGGAGAGGACUUGGAAAAUCCUUUUGUUUAUUUCACAUAUUGAUCUAGGAAUCUAUAUCUGUAUCUAUAUCAUCUAUUCCUAUUUAUGUCCUUUCAAUGACAUAUAAACAUUAUCUAUGUAUCUAUCUAUCUAUCUAUCAUCUAUUAAUAUCUAUCUGUCAUCUGCCUAUCCAUCCAUUCAUCCAUCCUUCAAUGGUAGGUUCAUGGAAGAGGGAAAGGACAGUGCAAUAAGAACUCACACAUUCCUCUGAAAAUGGUCUUAAUUUCUGUAGCAUUAAGAGUGGUAUCCUGGCUAAGUAUGUACUCGUAUACUGAAUCUUACUGCUGGCCAUUGCCCUAUAGUAUGGUGCAGGUAACUGAGGAGGCCAGCUUGUAGUACAUUCACCCAAGGAAAUGAAUGUGUUCAAGUGACACAAAGUUUAGUAGAGGGGAUACUCAAGUCUCUGCACGUGGAAAGAGAUUUCCUGCUGUAGAGAACUAAGUUGCUAUCUAACAAUUCAUUCACUGAAAAUGAAUAAACUGUUUUCAUUAUUAAGCCAUUAAUGGUAAAAAGUUCAAAUAAAAUUAUUCCCUUGAAGUGCCCAAGAAAUUCUUGAGACACAAAUCAUAGAUCAUUAAUUAUGAUCCCCUUCAGAGAGUAAAAGUAGGUUUUGACUUAAAAGGAAAGGUAAUUAAAAUCAAGGAAUUGGAAAUUUUUCAGCUGGAAAAUUGCUCUGAAUCACUGGUGUCAAGGGUUAGUUUGUGCCUCAAUGUUUUAUACAAUUUCAUACUCACCUAGAUAGGUAUUUAUGUCUAAACACACACAAAUAUGUGUUAGUGCACAAAAGCAUUAACACCAGUCUCUGUCAUUGCGUACAUUGCAUGCUAAGUCAAGCACAUGUCUAGCAGAAGUCUAAAUAGCUGAUCCCAAAAUGAAACGUUCAACAAAAUAAUUGUUUUGUUGGAGAGGAGUGGGACUGAUGGGGCAGGUAGUCUUUGAUGUCAAACAAUCAGCUGAUUUGUUUUUAAUAUAUUUUUAGUGGCACAUUGAGAAGUCAAACCAAUAUGUUGAAAAUGGAAAAUUCAACCAAGUACUUUCAGCCUAUGUGGAGAGAGGCUCAUUUUGUGAAAAGACCCACUAAAUUAAGUUGUAUAUUUAAGCACAGUUCUUCCCACGAAAGUCUCGGUACCAUCACCAAAGCAACAAGCAAGCAACACACAGUAUUUGGAGCAAGGCAUUUAAAGACCGCAAAGGCAAAAGCUUUGUUUCUU
rnacentral:lncRNA from 10 species